rnacentral:misc_RNA from 1 species
GAUGAAGAACGCAGCGAAAUGCGAUAAGUAAUGUGAAUUGCAGAAUUCAGUGAAUCAUCGAAUCUUUGAACGCACAUUGCGCCCCCCAGUAUUCUGGCGGGCAUGCCUGUUCGAGCGUCAUUUCAACCAUCAAGCCCUGCUUGUGUUGGGGUCCUGCGGCUGCCCGCAGGCCCUGAAAACCAGUGGCGGGCUCGCUAGUCACACCGAGCGCAGUAGCACAUCUCGCUCAGGGCGUGCGGCGGGCUCCAGCCGUUAAAGCACCCACCUUUCGCAAGGUUGACCUCGGAUCAGGUAGGAAUACCCGCUGAACUUAAGCAUAUCAUAAGGGAGGA